CACCAUUGACAUUUUGUGCAGCUGAAGGCAGCAGGCCAGAUGGACAAUGUGACUAAUGUGGAGUCACACUCCAGAAGGAGUCAGAUGCAUGCAUUCUGCUUCCUAGAACGAAAAAGAUGGAUUUGAUGUCGUGAAAUGGCAAUUCUAAAACUCAGGAGAUAUGUUGGUGUUUCUGAGCUCUUACUCCAGUGUCCACUUGUCCAUAGAAUCACCUUUCACUUCUGGGGUCAGAGGACAGCUCCUGGAAUGAUCUCUCAUCUUACGGCAAAAAGGUA
rnacentral:lncRNA from 1 species